rnacentral:lncRNA from 1 species
CCGGCCCCGGGCAAUGAGGGGCUUAGCACCCGGGCCAGCGGCUGCGGAGGAUGUACUGGGUCCCCCAGCAGUUCCAGCCCACCGGCGCUUUGCUCGAUUUCUCACCGGGCCUUAGCUGCCUUCCCUCGGGGCAGGGCUCCGGACCUGCAGCCCACCAUGCCUGAGCCUCCCACCCACUCCAUGGGCUCCUGUGCGGCCUGAGCCUCCCUGACGAGCGCCACCCCCUGCACCGGGGCGCCCAGUCCCAUCGACCACCCAAGGGCUGAGGAGUGCGGGCGCAAGGCACCGGGACUUGCAGGCGGCUCCACCUGCAGCCCCGGUGCGGGAUCCACUGGGUGAAGCCAGCUGGGCUCCUGAGUCUGGUGGGGAUGUGGAGAACCUUUGUGUCUAGCUCAGGGAUUGUAAACGCACCAAUCAGCGCCCUGUCAAAACAGACCACUCGGCUCUACCAAUCAGCAGGAUGUGGAUGGGGCCAGAUAUAAAAGCAGGCUGCCCGAGCUAGCAGUGGCAACCGGCUCGGGUCUCCUUACGCACUGUGGAAGCUUUGUUCCUUCGCUCUUUGCAAUAAAUCUUGCUACUGCUCACACUUUGGGUCCACACUGCCUUUAUGAGCUGUAACACUCACCGGGAAGGCCUGCAGCUUCACUCCUGAGCCAGCGAGACCACGAGCCCACCAGGAGGAACGAACAACUCCAGAGGCGCCGCCUUAAGAGCUGUAACCCGGCAAAGGUCUGCAGCUUCACUCCUGAGCCAGGGAGACCACGAACCCACCAGAAGGAAGAAACUCCAAACACAUCCGAACAUCAGAAGGAACAAACUCCAGACGCGCCACCUUAAGAGCUGUAACACUCACUGGGAGGGUCCGCGGCUUCAUUCUUGAAGUCAGUGAGACCAAGAACCCACCAAUUCCGGACACAUAACCACUAUGCUAGACCAGAUACAGGAAAUCUUCAUAACCUCAGGAAGUUCUCCUGUGCCUCUUUGCAGUCACUUCCUCUCCGUGUCUUCCUCCCACCCCCGCCAUCUGAGGCAACCACAACUGGAAUUUCUAUCAUAUUGUGUUAAAUUACUACUUCUAGAAAUUCAUGUAAAUGAAAUCAACCAGAAUGUGAUGUUUUCAGAUAUAUGAUCUCUGGUUGUUUUGUGAUCCCAGGAUCUACUGAGAUGUAUAGCAUAAGAAGUUAUACACAUCCUGGAUUUUGGGUGAUAAAAGUACUUCUUCCAUGAAAUUGCUGGGGGUUAAGUGAGAUAACAAAAGAAGAAAAACAGGUCCUCACUGCCCUAUAGGACAAACCAGAACACGACGGCCAGGAUUCAGCUCCUAACCAAUCAAAUAGAGGAUUCAAAAAUACCCAAUCAAGAGGAGGAUUGAAAAACAGACUCUUCUGAAUGGACAAAGGGAGAAUAUGGGAGGGAACAACAUGGGAAUAUAAGUCAGACUAGCAACGGCACCCUCUUCCGGGUCCCCUUCCACCACGUGGAAGCUUUACUUUUGGUUUGCUCAAUAAACUGCGCUGCUGCACACU